UCCAAAAAUUUGCGCUACUAUAACAGAAAAAACUGGUACAUUUACUAGCGAUAAUUAUCCUCUACCUUAUAACCCAGAAACGGAUUGUUAUUAUCAAAUCAUUAAGUAUAAUAGUGCAGUUUGCCAAGCAAAUCUUCAUUUCUCGGACUUCGUUGUUGGUUCAGAAAACGAUGCCACGUGUGUCGAAGACUAUUUAGAGAUUCAAGGAACACGCUAUUGUGGUGUCAGGAGAGGAGAAAAUGUUGUGGUUGGUUUUCCUUCGGAUAAAAAUGAUAUUUCUUUGAGAUUCUCAACUGAUGCAUAUAGAGAGAGAUCAGGAUUUCGUAUUGAAGUCAGCCAGAUUACAGAAGGAUGCGAGAAAGCAACAGAUGAUGAAUGCGGUGGAACGUAUACAAGCGAAACAUUCCAAAUUGUUAGCCCGGGUUACCAAAGCGGAACGUAUAAAGCUAAUUUGGAUUGUAAAUACUUAGUUAAGAAAUCUUCCUACGACGUUUGUGCUUUAGAAAUUAAAUAUUAUAUAUUCGACUUAGAAGAAUCGGAAGAUUGUAAGAAAGAUUAUUUUCAGAUCGGUGACAUAAAAUUAUGUGGAAAAUUAGCCUACGAUUCGA